AGUAAAUGCAUGUGAUGUGCUGGCCCCGCCUCCACUGUUUGAUUGACAGAUUCUCUUGAGCCACUUUCAGUAGAAGGGGUGUGGCCUUAAAACAAGCUCACUCAUGAUUGGUGACAGUAGCUGCAAUAGAAAAAGAGUUUACUCAAAAAACGAAUAAAAAUAACUGACCAAUCACUGCCUACGACCCUCGUCUGGCUCCUGUGUUCAUAUUGUGGAAAAAUGGCGACAGAAUUAAUUUGUUUGGAACUAGAAAUAAACCGUUUCCUAUGAGUGACAUCACACUUACUCGGUCCAGUUCUCUUGUACAGUCAACAGCUGCUCUGUUAUUUUUCUUUUUGAUCUGAUAUAUGUAGCAGGAUGAAAUGGGCUGCACCUGCUACACAGGUGUUGGCAAUCCUCUGGAUUGCCAAAAGGGUGUGGUGGAACCAAUAAAAGGCAGAGCCCCCCCCCAGCGGCUUCAGGCCUCCGGCGCGCCCCUGGACUUUGUGGACGGUUGCUUUUCCUUUUUAUUUCAGAACUUUUACUAAAUUUUGUUUAGGUGUGAGUGUGAAGGUGUGCGUGGUUGCCCUACUUACUGGUUUUAUUUUUCUUUUCAGGGAAGUGGUUGGCAGAGCGUGUUGGCCGACGACGGUGGAGGCUUGUUGUGUGUGGGUCCAUUCCCUUUCACGCGUGUGUGCGUGCAUGUCACUGUGGGGUGCAAUCCAUUUUUGUUUAUUCUGUUUUUUCCUCCCCUCGUACGCCCAGCGCUCUGCCGGUAGCCUUCCCCCAGUAGGGCUUUUAUUUUUUUUAGCUUUGAUUGUUUUAAUUGGUUUUAUAUUUUUUUAAUAAAGCUAUUUAUUGAACUGGAACCACGUCUCGGCUGCUUGGGGAAAAAAUCUACGUGUCCUUUAUCAGGACUUCCCUUUGGGUUCCCCGGACCCUGCAUUCCGGGGUGGCGUUGUUUCCUUUUGGGUUAUACCCGAAAAUCCGCUUUGCCUCAUAGAUAUUUACCUCGUGGUUGUUCAUGUCACAACUCCACGGUAACGACCUUCAUUUGACUGACUUCUGUCUUGGCUCCGAGGAUCAAGUGUGUCAUUUUCCCGCCUGUCUGUCUCUAACUGUGUAUCCUGAUGUUUCCCGCCUGUCUGCUGGAUCCAGCGGCAGCAUCAGGACCGGGAUGCUGGUUUCCUGCAUCCCUCCAUCCAUCUCCCGCCCCCUUCCUCCCGCUCCCGCUCCCGGUCCCUCUGCGCGUCCCCGUCACUGACAGGCGGGUUCGUCGGUGCAAACAGCAGCCUGUCCGGUUCCCGCUCUCCUCCAGAGAACCCGACGAUGCGGAGACCGACCGAGGGCUGAUCGUUCCUCCGGUGCACGAUCAGAGAGACAGAAGGUUUUUCUUCACUUCUUGCCUCCACUGUCCCGCUCCAAAUCCCGCCUCUCCACGCCGUCCCAUACCUCCAGACAUCUCUGACUGAGUGCUCAGAAGAGCUCCUGCGGUGUUCCAGAUCGCUCCGUACGCCUCGGGCCGGAACCUUCAUGCGUCUCCUAACAGCAGAGUCCACCCACACCUCCAUACACCUCACCACCACCUCUGCCAUGAGCUGCCAACCGGAGUUUGGAGACGGUGCCAUGGCGGUCACACUGACGCUCCGUCUCCUCAUGCAUGGAAAGGAAGUGGGAAGCAUCAUUGGAAAGAAAGGAGAAACUGUGAAGAGAAUCAGAGAAGAGAGUGGCGCUCGGGUCAACAUCUCGGAGGGUUCCUGUCCGGAGAGGAUCAUCACCAUCUCAGGACCCACAGACUGUGUGUUCAGAGCCUUCUCCAUGAUCACCUCCAAACUGGAGGAGGACCUGACCGCCUCGGUAGCCAAUGGAACCGUGAACAACAAGCCGCCGCUCACCGUACGGCUCGUAAUUCCUGCCAGUCAGUGCGGCUCUCUGAUCGGUAAAGGGGGCUCCAAGAUCAAAGAGAUCCGAGAGACCACAGGUGCUCAGGUCCAGGUAGCAGGAGAGCUCCUCCCCAAUUCCACAGAGAGAGAGGUGACGAUCUCCGGGGGCCAGAGAGCCGUCAUCACGUGUGUCAAACUCAUCUGCACCGUCAUUCUGGAGUCGCCACCAAAAGGGGCAACCAUUCCAUAUCGGCCCAGCCCGACCCCGGGGUCUGUGCUGCUGGGAGGAGCCCAGGUGUUUGAGGCUGCAGACUUUGGCUCCCACCCUCUGUUCUCAUUGGCUCAGGGAGGAAUGGACCUGCAGCAGACAUAUGCAGUACAGAGCCACUACAGCCUUCCACAUUCAGAGUUGGCGAAGCUGCAGCAGCUGUCCGUGCAGCAGCAAGCCCUUUCUGCGGCGCCAGUUCUGCCCGGAUCCCUGGACUCCAGCUCCCAAACGUCUCAGGAGUUCCUCAUUCCAAACGAUCUGAUUGGCUCAAUCAUCGGGCGCCAAGGAUCCAAGAUCAACGAGAUCCGGCAGGUAUCUGGAGCUCAGAUCAAGAUCGGCAGUCAGAUAGACAGCACCAGUGACCGACAUGUCACCAUCUCCGGCACGCCGAUCGCCAUCAACCUGGCUCAGUAUUUGAUCUCUUCAUGUUUAGAGACAGCCAAAUCCACUGCCCAGUCCUCCUCCAUGCCGUCUCCUGUUGACCUGACCAUGAGCUUCACCCAGCCCAGCCCCCCUGCCUCCGCCUCGUCCUCCUCCUCCUCCCCUUUGGCAGCGAUGGGCGCCACGCUGCCCCAUGCUCCAAUGCUGGGCGCUCCCUAUGCCCUCCCCCUUUCCAGCCUCCUGGGAGUCAAAUCCAUCCCCUACCUGGCACUGUCCACGUCCUCCGCUUCAGCCGCCGCCACCAUGGGGGUCCCAGUGCUGCAGAGCUCAGUGCAGACGGCCGCCGUCCCCGUGUCAGCACAGGCCGCGGCGGCGCUGGCGUCCUACACGGCCAAGAUCUCCUCCUCCACCAAUGGCGUGAAGAAGCCGGAGAGACAGAAGUUUUCCCCGUACUGAUGAGGGCUUGUGAGAAAGCUCCCAGAUAAGAAGGGCGUCACUGCAUCUCCUCCCUGUCCCACCUGUCAUUCCUCUCCUGCUAUAGAUGUCACUGAUCAUUAUGCAUGCCACACGCUCUUCAAUCAUCUGACUUCUGGAAAACACGAUUGCAGCUUUAAUCAGACCGUUUAGCUUGACUGAAGCCAGAGCUGCAGCAGCAGACACACAGGGCUGAAGAUGUUCAGAAGAUUCUGAUGAGACGACUUUUCAAUGGGAAAAUGAUGAAGUGUUAUUUGUGCCACUAUGCUAACAACAAAACUCUGUUUUGAACCGAUACCCAGCGCUAGUGUGAACGCUUUUUUGUUCUCUUCACUCGAGAGAAGGAACAGAGUCAGAAGAUCCUCUUAGAGGAGUGCUGACUCCCUCUGGACUCUGGAGGAAUCCAGAAAUCCUCUUCCUGAUCUUGAACUCUGUUAACCGGACUCUUUCCCUCUCAAAGACUUCCAUCCUCCUGUUUCCCAGCUGAAGAGAGUAUCUGAGGAUCUCAUCACUUUGUUGCUCUUGCUAACACUCCUCUCCCUCUCCAGAUCCACUCAGCUCUGCCCCUUCAGUCUGGAUGUUCCUGUUCAAGUGUCUCUACAUUCUGGAUGAACCUGUUCUUUUUAGAAUCGGAGUUGUAUUUGCUGGAUCUCCGACACUUCAUUCCGUAACCUUUGGGUCAGUCAGUGCUUCUUCAUGACAUCCCUUUACUUAAGCUCUGCAUCACCAUCGGCUGCAGAGAGAGAGUAUUUCAUGCAGGGAGAGACGUCUUUGAUGCUCAUCAGCUGCUGAGGAUCUUCUACAUCAGGGGUGUCAAACUAAAGUCCCCGAGGGCCGACGUCCUACUGGUUUUCCAGAAAUCCUGCCUCAUCUGCUGCUGAUUACCUGGAUCAGGUGUGUUUGGCCAAUAAGGAGCUUCAAAGGCAGGUUGGUUGGAAAACAUGUAGGACACCGGCCCUCCAGGCCUGGAGUUCGACACCUGUGUUCUACAUGUUAAAGAGCAGAUUGGGUCAUGACUGCACAGCUUAAGGCAGUCUCAGUUUAUGCUGCUGGUUCUAGUGGGAAGACACUAUAGUGGGUCUGAGGGACUGUGACGAGAUGUGAAGCUGGAGGCUUUAGAGAGGGAGGGGCCUGCGCUCCCCGCCUUUCCUCUUAACGCAGAACUCCCACGUUGAAGGUUUAUUUUCUGCAGGCGUUCAGGCCGAGCUCAGGUUGUACCAAACAAUCCUUCUAGACGCUGAAGCUCAGAGCAAAUGUUGGAGGUAAAGAGCCGCCGUGCUUCAGAGAGGACGGUGACCUUCACACUGAAGCUCUAAAGCUGCAAUUUGGUUUUCUGGCAUUCAGAAUUCAGCCUCAACGCUGAAGUUUCAUUCCUGAUUUCAUGUUCCAAUCAUCCCACAAAGUAAAGUUCUUUCUUUCUGGGGGUUAUUCGAGCUCUGCCCUUCUUAUCAGAGCGGGGAACGUUGAGGGUGUUUGUAGCAUCGGUUGAGGUUCUCGGGGACCUCCAGCCUCUAAAAGCCAUAGAGACUUCCAGCUCUUCCUCUUCUGGUUUGUGUCUGGUUCCUGAUCUUAUUGUAAACUCUCAUAUUUAUCAGAGUCACAGAUCAUCUGUCAGAGUUUCUGUCACUAAUACUGAGCUGAACAAUCAGCGUUUCUAUUGAAAUGGAAAUGCUUCCUUUGCUUCUUUUUUUCUUUCUAGUAUUUCUUGUGAAAAACACUCGAGUUUUGUGUUUAAAAACACUUUGAUUUCAGAUGCGUUGUGUUUUAUGUUUAACUUAUUGAGGACUUGUUAGAAAAACUCUUUCCACUGUAACAAAGAAAAUGUCAUCAAACUGUUUUUCACGUUUGAACGUAGAUUUAUUUUGAAAGAAGAAGACUUCUUGAAUUGAUUUUUGUUGGUAAAAACUGUGUUUUCACUGAUGAGCUCAGACAUGUGAACACUAACAGGUCACCUGACAGCAAAGCUUGACCUGCUUCUUUCAACAUCCUCAGAACUAGAAGGCAAAUCAAUGUUUGUCCUAUCAGGUUCUCCAGAAAACAUUCAGGUAUUUUUACAGCAACUUGAUUUGGUUCAAAACCUCUGAAGUUAAAGCUGAUUCCACAUUUGAUCAGUAACAGGUUUUCCAGAGUAUCAGUCACAGUUUUUUUCAUAGAUUAGCCAGGAGUGAGACUUAUACUCAGGAGCAACUUAUUUGUGUUUUGUGUUUUUCUCAGACAUCAACAGGCUCAUAUAUUUGUUAUUUUCUCAGUAAACAUCAGUUUUCCUUUAGCAGUUGUUUCCUCUAACAACCACUAGAGGGCGCUGCAGUAUAAUACUGACAGCACCAGAAGAAGUGUCGUUCAAAACAAACAUGGAGGACAAUCUGAUUGUUUUCUUCUUAGACUUUGAUAUUUUUCUUAAAGGCAUCAAAAGAUAAUUUUUAUUUAUGUAUUAGUUACGCUGGUCUUGGUGGAUUUGUUCUAAAACGUCAGACUUUUCUCCCAAAGGUGCGACUUACACUCCAGAGGGACUCACAUGUGUUUUUUUUCUUCUUGGUUGAACAUUUUUUGCUCUUGCGACUUAUGCGGUAUUUCAAUUAUGACACCAUUGGUUUUGCCUGAUGGAAAUGCGUCAUUGAGUCUGCGUCUUCAGCAGCUUUCUUUCAGGAAAGCCUUCUUCCCAUUCUGCUCUCCAGUCAUCACGGCUUCCCAAACAGAUCUGUCUUUAGUGGGGAUUCCAGCAGCUGCUGAUCAGGCGAGAACUGCAGUUCACACGAGUCUGACACCAUCUGAUGUCUAUGCAAAGAAGAAGAUGAAACUCCCUCCGCUCAGAUCAGACUGACCAUCAGCGGAGGGAAAUGCUGCAGCGGCUCAGGAUCACACAGCUGCCCUGACGAGAGGACCAGCAGUCCAAGUCCAGCAUUCAGCACCAGCCGGGCAGAGAACACAUGCAUGUGUGAAUGUGUUGGUUUGAAACAGUUGUUCUGAUGUGGAAGAGCCUGGUGCAUCCGCUCGGUGUGUUCGGGUUCAUUCUGAGCCUCGCUGCUGUUCGCUCACUGUGACGGCGUCAAGCAUUAAACCAAAAACUGCUUCAGGUUCAGGUUGAGGACACUUUUGGGUGCGAACAUUGAUUGCACUUAUUUGAUGUGGUUGGAAAUGUUCUGAACAUCUGUUUGUAAAGCAUUGCUCCAACACUGAACAUUCGUGUUGAAACUUAAAGUCAUCAGUUUCUGCUUUUUUCCCCCGAAAACCUCCUUUUUUUAAACAAUUAGAUUAAAAUGAUACAUUCGCUUUCAUGUCACAAAAAAGGUUUAUUGUUAACAGUGUUAUUGUUAAUAUGCAUCACUGUACUGAUGAAAUGAUGAGAAUAAUAAACCUGGAACCGAA